rnacentral:rRNA from 1 species
UACGUAGGGGGCAAGCGUUGUCCGGAAUUAUUGGGCGUAAAGCGCGCGCAGGCGGCUUCUUAAGUCUGAUGUGAAAGCCCGUGGCUCAACCACGGAGGGUCAUUGGAAACUGGGAAGCUUGAGUGCAGAAGAGGAGAGUGGAAUUCCACGUGUAGCGGGUGAAAUGCGUAGAUAUGUGGAGGAACACCAGUGGCGAAAGCGGCUCUCUGGUCUGUAACUGACGCUGAGGCGCGAAAGCGUGGGGAGCAAAC